CAUGCAGUCGAGCGGUAGAGAGAAGCUUGCUUCUCUUGAGAGCGGCGGACGGGUGAGUAAUGCCUAGGAAUCUGCCUGGUAGUGGGGGAUAACGUUCGGAAACGGACGCUAAUACCGCAUACGUCCUACGGGAGAAAGCAGGGGACCUUCGGGCCUUGCGCUAUCAGAUGAGCCUAGGUCGGAUUAGCUAGUUGGUGAGGUAAUGGCUCACCAAGGCGACGAUCCGUAACUGGUCUGAGAGGAUGAUCAGUCACACUGGAACUGAGACACGGUCCAGACUCCUACGGGAGGCAGCAGUGGGGAAUAUUGGACAAUGGGCGAAAGCCUGAUCCAGCCAUGCCGCGUGUGUGAAGAAGGUCUUCGGAUUGUAAAGCACUUUAAGUUGGGAGGAAGGGCAUUAACCUAAUACGUUAGUGUUUUGACGUUACCGACAGAAUAAGCACCGGCUAACUCUGUGCCAGCAGCCGCGGUAAUACAGAGGGUGCAAGCGUUAAUCGGAAUUACUGGGCGUAAAGCGCGCGUAGGUGGUUUGUUAAGUUGGAUGUGAAAUCCCCGGGCUCAACCUGGGAACUGCAUUCAAAACUGACUGACUAGAGUAUGGUAGAGGGUGGUGGAAUUUCCUGUGUAGCGGUGAAAUGCGUAGAUAUAGGAAGGAACACCAGUGGCGAAGGCGACCACCUGGACUAAUACUGACACUGAGGUGCGAAAGCGUGGGGAGCAAACAGGAUUAGAUACCCUGGUAGUCCACGCCGUAAACGAUGUCAACUAGCCGUUGGGAGCCUUGAGCUCUUAGUGGCGCAGCUAACGCAUUAAGUUGACCGCCUGGGGAGUACGGCCGCAAGGUUAAAACUCAAAUGAAUUGACGGGGGCCCGCACAAGCGGUGGAGCAUGUGGUUU
rnacentral:rRNA from 1 species